GAGAGAGGCUCGUAAGCAACAGACACUGCUAAUUUCUGUGACCAUGGGUUAAACUCCUUGGCUCACUCG
rnacentral:tRNA from 1 species